UAAUACGUAGGGAGCAAGCGUUGUCCGGAAUCAUUGGGCGUAAAGCGCGCGUAGGUGGCCUCAUAAGUCCGCUGUGAAAGUCAAAGGCUCAACCUUUGAAAGCCGGUGGAUACUGUGAGGCUAGAGUACGGAAGAGGCGAGUGGAAUUCCUGGUGUAGCGGUGGAAUGCGCAGAUAUC
rnacentral:rRNA from 1 species